UUUCGGGAGAAAAGUACCAAGCUAUUCACUUGGUUCUUUUUUUUAAAAAUAAACUCAGCUUGUGUGUAGUGUGGGGUUGAAGGAAAAUCAAUAGACCAUUUAUUCACAUAGUGCGUAUUUACUAAAUUACUAAUGGUGAUGAUCUUGGAUGGCAUCCGGUCUGAGAAUAUUGGAAACGACGUGAAAUUGGUAUGGAAUAGGUGGAAUAUUAGAAAAGGGCAUCAGACACAACGACGGACUAACUGGACUUAUAAUUUGCUGGUGGGUUACUUGGGAGGUCAGAAACAAUAUAAUUUUUCAAGGGAAU
rnacentral:lncRNA from 1 species